rnacentral:rRNA from 1 species
UUUUAUGGAGAGUUUGAUCCUGGCUCAGGAUGAACGCUGGCGGCGUGCCUAAUACAUGCAAGUCGAGCGAACGGACGAGAAGCUUGCUUCUCUGAUGUUAGCGGCGGACGGGUGAGUAACACGUGGAUAACCUACCUAUAAGACUGGGAUAACUUCGGGAAACCGGAGCUAAUACCGGAUAAUAUUUUGAACCGCAUGGUUCAAAAGUGAAAGACGGUCUUGCUGUCACUUAUAGAUGGAUCCGCGCUGCAUUAGCUAGUUGGUAAGGUAACAGCUUACCAAGGCAACGAUGCAUAGCCGACCUGAGAGGGUGAUCGGCCACACUGGAACUGAGACACGGUCCAGACUCCUACGGGAGGCAGCAGUAGGGAAUCUUCCGCAAUGGGCGAAAGCCUGACGGAGCAACGCCGCGUGAGUGAUGAAGGUCUUCGGAUCGUAAAACUCUGUUAUUAGGGAAGAACAUAUGUGUAAGUAACUGUGCACAUCUUGACGGUACCUAAUCAGAAAGCCACGGCUAACUACGUGCCAGCAGCCGCGGUAAUACGUAGGUGGCAAGCGUUAUCCGGAAUUAUUGGGCGUAAAGCGCGCGUAGGCGGUUUUUUAAGUCUGAUGUGAAAGCCCACGGCUCAACCGUGGAGGGUCAUUGGAAACUGGAAAACUUGAGUGCAGAAGAGGAAAGUGGAAUUCCAUGUGUAGCGGUGAAAUGCGCAGAGAUAUGGAGGAACACCAGUGGCGAAGGCGACUUUCUGGUCUGUAACUGACGCUGAUGUGCGAAAGCGUGGGGAUCAAACAGGAUUAGAUACCCUGGUAGUCCACGCCGUAAACGAUGAGUGCUAAGUGUUAGGGGGUUUCCGCCCCUUAGUGCUGCAGCUAACGCAUUAAGCACUCCGCCUGGGGAGUACGACCGCAAGGUUGAAACUCAAAGGAAUUGACGGGGACCCGCACAAGCGGUGGAGCAUGUGGUUUAAUUCGAAGCAACGCGAAGAACCUUACCAAAUCUUGACAUCCUUUGACAACUCUAGAGAUAGAGCCUUCCCCUUCGGGGGACAAUGUGACAGGUGGUGCAUGGUUGUCGUCAGCUCGUGUCGUGAGAUGUUGGGUUAAGUCCCGCAACGAGCGCAACCCUUAAGCUUAGUUGCCAUCAUUAAGUUGGGCACUCUAAGAUGACUGCCGGUGACAAACCGGAGGAAGGUGGGGAUGACGUCAAAUCAUCAUGCCCCUUAUGAUUUGGGCUACACACGUGCUACAAUGGACAAUACAAAGGGCAGCGAAACCGCGAGGUCAAGCAAAUCCCAUAAAGUUGUUCUCAGUUCGGAUUGUAGUCUGCAACUCGACUACAUGAAGCUGGAAUCGCUAGUAAUCGUAGAUCAGCAUGCUACGGUGAAUACGUUCCCGGGUCUUGUACACACCGCCCGUCACACCACGAGAGUUUGUAACACCCGAAGCCGGUGGAGUAACCUUUUAGGAGCUAGCCGUCGAAGGUGGGACAAAUGAUUGGGGUGAAGUCGUAACAAGGUAGCCGUAUCGGAAGGUGCGGCUGGAUCACCUCCUUUCUAA